rnacentral:rRNA from 1 species
AACGAACGCUGGCGGCAUGCCUAACACAUGCAAGUCGAACGAGACCUUCGGGUCUAGUGGCGCACGGGUGCGUAACGCGUGGGAACCUGCCCUUAGGUUCGGAAUAACUCCCCGAAAGGGGUGCUAAUACCGGAUAAUGUCUUCGGACCAAAGAUUUAUCGCCUUUGGAUGGGCCCGCGUUGGAUUAGCUAGUUGGUAGGGUAAAAGCCUACCAAGGCGACGAUCCAUAGCUGGUCUGAGAGGAUGAUCAGCCACACUGGGACUGAGACACGGCCCAGACUCCUACGGGAGGCAGCAGUGGGGAAUAUUGGACAAUGGGCGAAAGCCUGAUCCAGCAAUGCCGCGUGAGUGAUGAAGGCCUUAGGGUUGUAAAGCUCUUCUAACCGGGAUGAUAAUGACAGUACCGGGAGAAUAAGCGCCGGCUAACUCCGUG